AUUGGCCAAAAGAUAGAGUGUGUCCCCAAGCAAGGCCAAUCAGAAUCCUCCUCUGGAAAAAUACGAGCCACUCACGUGUGGGCACUGCCAAGGCUGCAGGGCUGACCCAGCACGUGGAGACGGCAGGAUCAGGGAUGUGAGAGAGAGGGCAAGACCUCCGCUAAAGAAGAGACAAGCAGACGUGAGAGUCUGGGGGAGUGCCUUGGGAUUUUGAGCGCCUGAGGCUGUGGUUGCUUCCUUGGGUCUAUGAGCCAGAGCCUUCCAGGCCACAUGAAGCCUAACUCUCCUGGAGCUGGGGUGAACUAGGGUCUGUUACUCAACUGAGAGAGGCCAGGUUAAGACAAUAUUUCCGUCUCCCCUGUAGAAAUGAGGGCUACUUGAGGGAAGGGACUGGGGCUUCUUCAUCUCUAUUGAGAGGUGAAGCAAGCUGGACUUCCUGCAUAAAGGGCGGACUUGGAGAACUUUUCUGUCUAGCUAAAGGAAUGUAAAUGCACCAAGCAGCGCUCUGUAUCUAGCUAACGCUUUGUAAACGCACCAAUCAGCACUCUGUAAAAACGGACCUAUCAGCUCUCUGUAAAAUGGACCAGUCAACGCUCUAUAAAAUGGACCAAUCAGCAGGAUGUGGGCGGGGCCAAAUAAGGAAAUAAACGCUGGUCCCUAGAGCCCGCAACAGCAACCAGCUCAGGUCCCUUUCCAAGCUGGGAAGCUUUGUUCUUUCUCUUUGCUCUUCCUAAUAAAUCUUGCUGCUGCUCACUCUUUGGGUCUGCAUUACCUUUAUGAGGUGUAACACUCACUGCAGAGGUCUGCCGCUUCCCUCCUGAAGUCAGGGAGACCGCAAACCCACUGGAAGGGAGAAACUCCGGACACAUCUGAACAUCUGAAGGAACAAACUCCGGACAUGCCAUCUUUAAGAACUGUAACACUCACGGCUAGGAUCUGCAGCUUCAUUCUUGAAGUCCGCGAGACCAAGAACCCACCGGAAGGAAUAAAUUCUGAACGCACUAGUGCAGUGCCUGAAGGCAUCAGGUACCGGCCUCUGUGAAGGAUUCUGAGAUGAAGACAGUCCUCACACCCCUGUGAAGAUGAGUGAGUUCACCAAGCACAGCCACGCAAGGUGUAGGGGCCUGGAGCCCUGGGAAAGCCUGACUGUGGGGGGUCUGUCGCUGCCGGCUCUGCCUCUUGGUCUCUCCACCCAGAUGCGAGAUGAUCAGGACUGACUAAACUGAGCCACCCAACACAGUCUCAUGUGGACAGGGAAGGCUUCAGCUUUGCCAAGAAUUCCAGAGCUGGAUUUUAUUGACACAUCAUACUUAUGAUUAUGUCAGUGGAGUUCUUUCUGGAGAGGGAGGCCUGCCCUUUGACCUAGCUGUAGAAUUGCCCCAGUAUUCCCUUAAGCUCAAUCCCUCCUCUGAUCCCCACCCCCUUGGGACUCUCUGUGGCUGUCUCUAGAUCAAAAUAUCCUCCCACCGUUCAGGACGGGCCUGGCCAGAGACUCUUGUUAUUUUCACUCCUGUUCUGAUAACAAUCCCUGUGGAAGGAAAGAAAAAUGUCACCUAGAUAAAGA
rnacentral:lncRNA from 1 species